rnacentral:rRNA from 1 species
GACGAACGCUGGCGGCGUGCUUAACACAUGCAAGUCGAACGGUGAAGCUCAAGCUUGCUUGGGUGGAUCAGUGGCGAACGGGUGAGUAACACGUGAGCAACCUGCCCCGGACUCUGGAAUAAGCGCUGGAAACGGCGUCUAAUACUGGAUAUGACACCAAUCCGCAUGGGUAUGGUGUGGAAAGUUUUUCGGUCUGGGAUGGGCUCGCGGCCUAUCAGCUUGUUGGUGAGGUAAUGGCUCACCAAGGCGA